rnacentral:lncRNA from 1 species
CCCCUUCUCCAUAUCCUCAUCCUCCUCCCCAUCAGAGUGGCAAUUACAUGCAAUGAUAGUUUUCCAAUGACUUUCUCAGUGUGCAUCUCAUGUUCAUUUUUUGUUGUUCUCAAGUCGACUAGACCGGACAUAAUGAGACUUCUUUGUUGUACCAGGUCUUAGAAUACAUUGUUAUACAUUUGUAAGUAAGUUUGAAUGAAGCACACAUGU